UUUGCCUUUAGGGUUGAAUAUCCUCUGUGAGGCUGGUUGACUGGGUGGUACUGCUUCCCUGUGCAGUUUUCUGUGAGAAUGAGAUGGCACAACAUGUAUCAGAUAGAUGGUGUGAUGAUCAGUUUUCACCAUUAGUUUGGGUGGAGACUUUUUGUUUAUUAAAUUGUAUUUUAAAACUAGAUUUGUUUUUUUAAUCAUUAAUGAUUAAUAUGUUUGGAUAACAAUUGAAACCUGCUUAAUUUAUCUGCCAAUAAAAAAAUCAGUUUGUACAUUAAAUUAUACUGGUCAAACUCUUCUCUUCUGCACAAUGAAUUACCAAAAAACUAUGUUUCAAGUGACAUUUACUGUUUUUCUGAAGCUGAACAAGACAGGAAGUUGAAAGGAGCAUCACAAAGCUAAAUCGGACCUAUUGUCUAACAUGUUUUGUCAAUCAUAAGCAGCUGUGAGACCUGCUAGAGUACUGUAACUUUAUUGACCUACUGAAUCAUUGUAGUUUUGGGGGUAAAUAUAAUGCUUUAGUUUAAUUCAUGGAAUUCAAAUUAACAACAGGACAAUGCUGUGUAAGUGCUAUUUGACCAAGAAGGACAGUGAUGGAGUGCUGCAUCAGAUGACCUGGCCUCCACAAUCACCGAAAAUAAAGAUCAUCUACAAAAGUAGUAAGUCCAUCAAUCCAAUAGAUGUCGCUAUUUGGAACACUGUGGUAGUGGGGGGAACAGGAAGUUCCGGUAGGCGCACACCAUUCUUUACAAUAAAGAAAACGCCUGAACUGUGCUGUCCAUUUCUCUUUAUUAAUACAGGCCGGUGGUGCUGGUCCACUCCAGGAGUCUGAGGUGCGGGAGGUUCCUCCGCCCCCUUUGGACAUCGAGGGGGACCCGGCGUAUGCAGUUCGAGCCAUACUGGACCCGAGGCGUCUAGCGAGGGGCCUUCAGUACCUCGUGGAGUGGGAGGGGUACGGUCCGGAGGAGAGAUCCUGGGUGCCGGUGGAGGACGUAUUGGACCUGUCGAUGCUGCAGGAGUUCCACAGUCUCCAUCCGGGUCGUCCCCGAGGCCGGUGUCAGCGCGUGGCUCAAGGGGGGGGGGGUACUGUCAUGACUUCCACCGAAGUCAGUCCUUGUUCAGGCGGCGCUCGGCGGUCAACGUCACCGGUAUUCUAGCCAUUGCCGAUCCACUUUUCAUUUUCCAUUUGUUUUGUCUUUGUUUUUUUCACACCUGGUUUCGAUUCCCCCAUUACAGAUUCAGUAUUUAACCCUCUGUUUCACACAUACAUACGUAUCUGAUGGCUGGUAUUUUGUUGCCGGGCUUUGUAUGAACGCCAGUUUAUUCGUGGUACCGGUAUAUUUCACGGACCGUUGUAUUGUUUCUAUAACCAUGUUUUUUUGUGUAUUAAAUACCUUGUCCACGCAUCUCAA